ACGAACGCUGGCGGCGUGCUUAACACAUGCAAGUCGAACGGAAAGGCCCUGCUUUUGUGGGGUGCCCGAGUGGCGAACGGGUGAGUAACACGUGAGUAACCUGCCCUUGACUUUGGGAUAACUUCAGGAAACUGGGGCUAAUACCGGAUAGGAGCUCCUGCUGCAUGGUGGGGGUUGGAACGUUUCGGCGGUUGGGGAUGGACUCGCGGCUUAUCAGCUUGUUGGUGGGGUAGUGGCUUACCAAGGCUUUGACGGGUAGCCGGCCUGAGAGGGUGACCGGCCACAAUGGGACUGAGAUACGGCCCAGUCUCCUACGGGAGGCAGAAGUGGGGAAUAUUGCACAAUGGGCGGAAGCGUGAUGCGGCAACGCCGCGUGCGGGAUGACGGCCUUCGGGUUGUAAACCGCUUUCGCCUGUGACGAAGCGUUAGUGACGGUAAUGGGUAAAGAAGCACCGGCUAACUACGUG
rnacentral:rRNA from 1 species